GAUGAAGAACGUAGCAAAAUGCGAUAAGUAAUGUGAAUUGCAGAAUUCAGUGAAUCAUCGAUUCUUUGAACGCACAUUGCGCCCGCUGGUAUUCCGGCGGGCAUGCCUGUUCGAGCGUCAUUUCAACCCUCAAGCCCCCGGGUUUGGUGUUGGGGAUCGGCUCUGCCCUUCUGGGCGGUGCCGCCCCCGAAAUACAUUGGCGGUCUCGCUGCAGCCUCCAUUGCGUAGUAGCUAACACCUCGCAACUGGAACGCGGCGCGGCCAUGCCGUAAAACCCCAACUUCUGAAUGUUGACCUCGGAUCAGGUAGGAAUACCCGCUGAACUUAAGCAUAUCAAUAAGCGGAGGA
rnacentral:misc_RNA from 1 species